rnacentral:rRNA from 1 species
UGAGGAAUAUUGGUCAAUGGGCGAGAGCCUGAACCAGCCAAGUAGCGUGAAGGAUGACUGCCCUAUGGGUUGUAAACUUCUUUUAUAAAGGAAUAAAGUCGGGUAUGGAUACCCGUUUGCAUGUACUUUAUGAAUAAGGAUCGGCUAACUCCGUGCCAGCAGCCGCGGUAAUACGGAGGAUCCGAGCGUUAUCCGGAUUUAUUGGGUUUAAAGGGAGCGUAGAUGGAUGUUUAAGUCAGUUGUGAAAGUUUGCGGCUCAACCGUAAAAUUGCAGUUGAUACUGGAUAUCUUGAGUGCAGUUGAGGCAGGCGGAAUUCGUGGUGUAGCGGUGAAAUGCUUAGAUAUCACGAAGAACUCCGAUUGCGAAGGCAGCUCACUGGACUGCAACUGACACUGAUGCUCGAAAGUGUGGGUAUCAAACAGGAUUAGAUACCCUGGUAGUCCACACAGUAAACGAUGAAUACUCGCUGUUUGCGAUAUACAGUAAGCGGCCAAGCGAAAGCAUUAAGUAUUCCACCUGGGGAGUACGCCGGCAACGGUGAAACUCAAAGGAAUUGACGGGGGCCCGCACAAGCGGAGGAACAUGUGGUUUAAUUCGAUGAUACGCGAGGAACCUUACCCGGGCUUAAAUUGCAUUUGAAUAAUCAAGAAAUUGGUUAGUCGUAAGACAAAUGUGAAGGUGCUGCAUGGUUGUCGUCAGCUCGUGCCGUGAGGUGUCGGCUUAAGUGCCAUAACGAGCGCAACCCUUAUCUUCAGUUACUAACAGGUCAUGCUGAGGACUCUGGAGAGACUGCCGUCGUAAGAUGUGAGGAAGGUGGGGAUGACGUCAAAUCAGCACGGCCCUUACGUCCGGGGCUACACACGUGUUACAAUGGGGGGUACAGAAGGCCGCUACCUGGUGACAGGAUGCUAAUCCCAAAAGCCUCUCUCAGUUCGGACUGGAGUCUGCAACCCGACUCCACGAAGCUGGAUUCGCUAGUAAUCGCGCAUCAGCCAUGGCGCGGUGAAUACGUUCCC